UGCCCUAGUAACGGCGAGUGAAGCGGCAACAGCUCAAAUUUGAAAUCUGGCGCAAGCCCGAGUUGUAAUUUGGAGAGGAUGCUUCUGGGCAGCGGCCGGUCUAAGUUCCUUGGAACAGGACGUCAUAGAGGGUGAGAAUCCCGUAUGCGACCGGUUGGCACCCGUCACGUAGCUCCUUCGACGAGUCGAGUUGUUUGGGAAUGCAGCUCUAAAUGGGUGGUAAAUUCCAUCUAAAGCUAAAUACCGGCCAGAGACCGAUAGCGCACAAGUAGAGUGAUCGAAAGAUGAAAAGCACUUUGGAAAGAGAGUUAAACAGCACGUGAAAUUGUUGAAAGGGAAGCGCAUGCAACCAGACUUGUCGGCGGUGUUCCGCCGGUCUUCUGACCGGUCUACUCGCCGCCGGCAGGCCAGCAUCGUGUGGGUGCGCCGGAUAAAGGCGCCGGGAAUGUGGCCCCUCGGGGUGUUAUAGCCCGGCGCACAAUACGGUGCCGCCCGCGCGAGGUCCGCGCUUCGGCUAGGAUGCUGGCGUAAUGGUCGUAUGCGGCCCGUCUUGAAACACGGACCAAGGAGUCUAACAUCUAUGCGAGUGUUCGGGUGUCAAACCCCUACGCGGAAUGAAAGUGAACGGAGGUGGGAACCCUCACGGGUGCACCAUCGACCGAUCCUGAUGUCUUCGGAUGGAUUUGAGUAAGAGCAUAGCUGUUGGGACCCGAAAGAUGGUGAACUAUGCCUGAAUAGGGUGAAGCCAGAGGAAACUCUGGUGGAGGCUCGCAGCGGUUCUGACGUGCAAAUCGAUCGUCAAAUUUGGGUAUAGGGGCGAAAGACUAAUCGAAC
rnacentral:rRNA from 1 species